CGUUUACCUCCUGGGUUUGAGGAAUAACGCCCCCGAGGUGUGGGUUGGACAAUGGAAAUCCCCUAGGCAGCCUGUAUACGGGAAGCUGCAUCGACGCGGUGCCUUUUCAGGCCCUUCCCUUGGACCAGCCCAUGUACCUGUUCCAGAUCGGUGAUCAGGUCCUCGUCAAGAAGUGGAAGCGUGACCCCCUUACACCACGGUGGGACGGCCCGCAUACUGUCUUGCUUAUCAGCCAAGCUGCAGUCAAAGUUAUUGGGAGUGACAAAUGGACGCACCAUACGCGGGUAAAACGGUUUCUGAACCCUAACCUAGAAACUGAGUCAGUGGAAGAGGACACCGGCCCUCUGCCCGCCCCGGCUCCGGACGCCCGGGGUGGCACAGGUGAAGACUCCACCUGGGAGUAUGAGUACUUGGACGGACUAAAGGGACUGUUUAGAAAAAGAUAAUGAAAUUAUUGUUAAUAUUUUUGUUUAUGUGCUUCCACCACUAUUAUGGUUGGGAAAAUAGGUUUUUACAGCUGCGGGGGAGACAAUAGCAAAAUCCAUAAACCUCAGUAACUGUUGGGUAUGCGGAGGCCCAGGGGAAUUAAAUGAAUGGCCUUGGGUAGCCCAGCCUGUACAGCCCAAAUGGUGGCUCAGCAAUUUGAGUAUAGUCCACGAUGGAACGGGGGUUUGGACUGAGGAUAGUAGCCCCUGGCGACUGUAUUCUUCUGGAAUGGGUAUUCUCUGCCUUAAUCGGACAAGGCGGGAGGGAGUGUACUUGGGAGAAAGCAAGUGUGAUUGGACUCUAUCCCCAGGAUUUGAUUGUUGGGACCCUUAUUGUCAUCUGUAUGACUGUUCUAAAUAUCAGGGGCAAUGGAACCAGACCCAUGUGAGGCUCACCAAUAAUAGUUGGGUGAAAUGCUCCAAACAAUACUACCCUACGGCCGAAGGUUGCAGGGCGGUAGGACAGGAUGGGUUCUUUGACGCCCUAUUCACGAGUUGCCAGGUAGACAAUACCACUAGCAAGGACCAUGUGGUACGGUGGUUUCAAUGGGCAUGGCAGAAU